rnacentral:rRNA from 1 species
UACGGGGGGAGCAAGCGUUGUUCGGAUUUACUGGGCGUAAAGGGCGCGUAGGCGGUCGUGACAAGUCACUUGUGAAAUCUCCGGGGCUUAACUCGGAACGGUCAAGUGAUACUGUCGUGCUAGAGUACAGAAGGGGCAACUGGAAUUCUCGGUGUAGAGGUGAAAUGCGUAGAUAUCUGGAAGAACACCGGUGGCGAAGGCGGUCGACUGGCCCUAAACUGACGCUGAGGCACGAAAGCGUGGGGAUCAAACAGG